rnacentral:rRNA from 1 species
AUUGAACGCUGGCGGCAGGCUUAACACAUGCAAGUCGAGCGGAAACGAUGUAGCUUGCUACAGGCGUCGAGCGGCGGACGGGUGAGUAACGCGUAGGAAUCUGCCUAGUAGUGGGGGACAACAUGUGGAAACGCAUGCUAAUACCGCAUACGCCCUACGGGGGAAAGGAGGGGAUCUUCGGACCCUUCGCUAUUAGAUGAGCCUGCGUAAGAUUAGCUAGUUGGUAGGGUAAAGGCCUACCAAGGCGACGAUCUUUAACUGGUCUGAGAGGAUGGCCAGUCACACUGGGACUGAGACACGGCCCAGACUCCUACGGGAGGCAGCAGUGGGGAAUAUUGGACAAUGGGCGCAAGCCUGAUCCAGCCAUGCCGCGUGUGUGAAGAAGGCCUUAGGGUUGUAAAGCACUUUCAGGGGUGAGGAAGGGUGUUUGGUUAAUAUCCAAACAUUUUGACGUUAGCUCCAGAAGAAGCACCGGCUAACUCGGUG